rnacentral:rRNA from 1 species
UACAGAGGGUGCAAGCGUUAAUCGGAAUUACUGGGCGUAAAGCGUGCGUAGACGGUUAUUUAAGUCAGGUGUGAAAGCCCCGGGCUCAACCUGGGAAUUGCAUUUGAGACUGAAUAGCUAGGGUGCGGAAGAGGGAAGCGGAAUUUCCGGUGUAGCGGUGAAAUGCGUAGAUAUCGGAAAGAACACCAACGGCGAAAGCACUCUGCUGGGCCGACACUGACACUGAGAGACGAAAGCUAGGGGAGCGAAUGGG